AGCACCUAGGUACCUGACGUAGGCAUCGAAUGUUCAAGUCUAUAAAUAGCACAUUAUGCAAUGUUUUGAGAUGAGGAGGACUGGGGCUAUUUGCGUAUCAAACAAGCUAAACGAGAAACAAGAAUAUUUCUUCAUCGAUGUUGAAGAAUUAACGAGUGAAUUCACUUCGAAGUCCGAGGAUUUCAUAAGGCUCCAAACUAGUGCCCGAAUUAGGGAAUUGUCAACAUAAAAAGGCGUCUUUCAAGUUAUUAGCAUAAAAAAGGCGUCUUUCAAGACAUUAGCAUAAAUAAUAAUUUACAAGGGAGGCUCUUGCCGACACCAAGGAGGUCCAAUUCAAAAUGACAUAUCAACCACCUGCUUACAAUCCAAACUAUCCAUCGGCACCACCUCAAGGCGGAGUAGGAUUUGAGCAAUAUCAAGGAGGGGGUCCACCACCGCCAGCAUACGGACAACCCCCACCCUAUGGACAACCGUACGGACCACCCGGACAAUACGGCCCUCCUGGACAAUACGGCCCUCCUGGACAAUACGGCCCUCCCCCUGGUGGUCCAGUAUACACCCAACAGCCUAACACUGUGUAUGUGUAUGAUGAACGAGAUCGCUAUAAUAAGAGGGACACUAGUGGGGAGGAGUGCUUCCUUUGGGGACUUUGUGCCGCUUGCCUGUGUUGUUGUCUUAUGAGUGAUUAGACAGAGAAAGAAGAGAUGAUAAGCAACACUCAGAUAUACUUUGCACUACCAAACUACAGCCUAUCUCCAAAAGGGUGUCUACCUAAAAUACAUUUUUAAUGUUCUGAUGGUUAUACAACUCAUCAUAUAUUUGCUUUCUGCUUGUAUAGAUUAACAGGUGUUACAAAUGGUUACAGUUGACUGUUUCGAUAGAUUCAAAUAUGCAGUAGCUACUGCCCCCAAAAAUGAAUAUAUUUAUGAGUUGUGUGACAUUUGGAACUUUGGAAAUGUAUUUUUAUGUGGACUUCCUUUACAAGCUCAGCUGUAUUUUGCUGUACCAUACCAUUAUCUAGUUAGAACCAAUGCUGAUCCUGAUAGCAUUACUAGCAGGAUUCGCUAGCUAAGAAGAAAAAUAACCACUUGAGUGUUGCUGCUCUACACUUGGAAAUAUAUAUUUUUUUGUUUGGCUGCCUCAAUUUUCCCCCAACCAGCAGAACAAUUCCUAAGGGAUAACCAAUCAUAACUCGCUAUGAUAUUAAAAAAACAGACUGAUGCCUUAUGCACCAAUUCAGAAUUAAGAUCUCAAUAUCCUGAAUUUUCAAGCUAAGGAUAAGUGAUUACAUUUAGACUUUUAGAAAAACAAAAAUGUAAAUAAUUGUCAGGUAGUCAAAGCAUUUUUCAAAAUGCCACACAAAUUUCUGUAGACUUCUUAAAUUGAAAGAGCCUUUUGGAGUUAAGCCUCCUUUCAGGCAUCUCAAGCAGUGCAUAGCUACUGGGGCAAUAAACAAUGUAAAAGUUAUAUCUCUUUGUUUUGUAUUAUAUAACAAAUAAAGUAUCAAACUUA